ensembl:snoRNA SNORD10 small nucleolar RNA, C/D box 10
GUUUAAUGAUGAUAACAUGCGUGUCAACUGAACUUAGUGUUCUCUGCAGCGUUCUGUCUCCAGUCGGCGUUUUGCUUACUGGUGCACAUGGCGCUGCAGUACUCUAAGCGCAUGAUCAGAGAUGUAUAAGGCUGAAAAC